CUUGCGUUAAAAACAGACAACAAAAUCUAAAACAGAAACCUCCAAAAGAAAAUUUUUAUAAACUAAAUACGGAUAGAGCUCAUACAACAACCAAGACUGGCAUUGGUGGAUUAAUUCGAAAUUCAAAAGAUGAAGGGAUGUUGGGCUUUGCAGCAGUAGUCCCAAGAGAUUCAUCAACUUCAGCAGAAUUGCAUGCUUUGUUACAGGGACUUAAGAUGGCAUACACCCACAACUUCAUUCUACUACUAUUAUGGUAAGCCAGUAGUACAAUAUGCAUAUAUAGAGCGGAAUAGAAUUGCGGAUAAACUAACAAAGAUAGGCUGCAAUUUUGACCUUAACUCAGCGAUGCGUAUUUUGGAGGACAGCUCAGAUUUUGCAUGGCCAGUUUCUGAAAAAAAAAGAGUGCAGUGCAAGGGUAUGUUUUAGAAGACUUAAGCACCAACUCAAACAAGUUUGAUGCUAUAAAUGGCUAUUGCAACAGUAAUGUAGUAGAUAGUAGUAGUAAUGUCAGUGUGUAUAAUAGUUUGGUACCCACUAUUAGUACAUUAUCGUAUAAUAGGAUACAGUAUAAGCAUCCAGCCUCCAUACGCAACACUUAAUCAUAAUACAUAUUUAUCUUUUUAACCAAAAAAAAUAAAAUUACAGAGAUGAUGAGGCAAGAAAAUUAUACUAGUUUAAGUUUUAUAUGUGCUGACAAAAGUGAAAAAUAUAUUAUUUGGGCAAAAGCUACCGACUUCGGCCAAACUCAUGGUCGAGCUUAUAGCUCAGACCCGAUGUAGUACAAUAAAUAGAUUUUUAAGUUAUCGGUUUAGUUGAUUAUAAUAAUAUUUAAAUAUUUUAUAGUAAAUUUGAAAUGAUAAUCGGGUAAAUAGAAUGACAACUUGCUAUAAUUAAGUAGAUUUCCAUAGGAUAUAGUUAAAUAAUAAUAUAUAUUUUUCAUGUAAUCUCUUAUUUUCCUAUAAAUCCUAAAAGAGAAAUUUAUUUCGAAAUAAAUGAUUUACUGAACUCACUAAUUUACUUUUAGUGUUGGUCCAAUUUUUCCUCUCAAUCUAAUUCUUUAAAAUUUUAUCAUUUUCAAUGAGCAACCAUUGUGAAGGCAUCUCUAUAGUAAAACAAUAAUAACAACAACAAUAAUAACUAUCUAGCAUGGAGGUUUAUCCUAGAAGGACAAAAAAAUUAUUUCCGAUAGAUCCUCAGCUAAAAAAGGUAAGAGAAGCCUUGAUAGCAAGUAAUAGCAUGACAAUAAUUAAAAAACUAAUUCAAAAAUAACAAUAAAUAAUAUGAAAGAGAUACUGAUAAUAAAUAAUAGCAAAAUAAUACAUUUAAAAGAUUAAUUUUAAGACCGCAAACGAUAAUAUGAUCGAAAAGGUAAUUUCUCUUAGGAAGGGCGCCAAAAGAAUAGUUUAGUUACUCAAAGUCAAAGGAAAGAGUCCAAAGCAAUUGUCAUUUUAAUCAUAUAAAUUUGGUCCACACUAAGUGCUGAGAUAAUUAAAAAAAAGCAUUAAUUAUUUGUUUUAAAGCUAACAUUGUUCUAACAUAAUAAAUGAUCUAAAAAGUUUGAAAAGAGAUUAAAAGGAGUAAUUUAAUCAAAUAAUUUUAACAAACACCACUUAUUUUGAAUCGAAGGUAGUAAAAACUUUAAUCUACUUAAUUUCACGAUAGAUUCAUGAGACUAAUUAAUGAAAGAAAAGCUCAUACAUAUACAUAAAAAGCAUCUGUCUUUUUUUUUGUUUUCUUUGAGAGGAUCCUGCAGCUUAAGAAAAAAGUCAGUGUACGGUGAGUUCGGAAUUUAAAGUUUUAUCAUAAUCUCAAAUUAAUUUAUAUUUUGUUCGGUCUAUAAUAAGUGAUCAAUUUAUUUUUUUAUUUUAGUUCAAAACAAAUAUUCAUUUAUAUAACCAAGAAACAAUUCAAUUUGUUUUUCCAAAAUUACUCUCAUGUAUAUACUAUCUUUAAAAUGCCUUUUCCUCCUCACAUUAAUUAUGCUAUAAUAUUUAAUUAAUGGUAAUUUAGUCAUACUAAAUAUUUUUGUUUAAAAUUUCUUAUUUCCUUGACGAAUGCGCCCAAAAAAAAUUGCUCACUUAUUAUGGACCGAAAGGAAUACAAUAAUAACUGAGUUUACAAUUAGAAAUUUAUAAAUAUUUAAUGAAUUUUUGAUAAAAAUAUAGAACAUACGCAAAAGUUGUUAGAUUCUCCGAACCCACGUACAAUGCUCUAAAUCCGCUACUGCAUGUACAUCUGUGCUUAAAUAAGUACCAAAUAGGGAAAUCAUUUUGCUAAUGAUGUAUUUCACAUUGCAAAAACGCUGAAACUAAGGAUGUUCCCAAUACUGACAGGACUCCCGCUGAAGCAAUUGUGUAGCAGCUCUAUAUUAAGCUCCUCGAAAAUGUUGACGUUGCCUGAAAUGUUUCUGAGCUGCUACAUUACCAGCAGUUUCUGCAUCAUUCUCCUUUAAUUCCAUCUCAUCUUUAGGUUUGGAGUUUUCAGUAUCACAAAAAACAUUGAAAAGGGUGUGUAGAACACAGCCCAAAAUUGGGAUUACAGAAAAAAUAGCUACACUUCGUUUCAGAUUCAUUUUUGUAGCCAAGAAAUGCUUAGAAUUUUGUUUCUGUAUAAGGAAAGAUGAAGAAGAAGAGAAAAAAUGCAAGUAAUUCUUGAAAU
rnacentral:lncRNA from 1 species